GCGGGGAUAGCUCAGUUGGGAG
rnacentral:siRNA from 1 species